rnacentral:rRNA from 1 species
UACAGAGGGGGCAAGCGUUGUUCGGAAUUACUGGGCGUAAAGGGCGCGUAGGCGGCACUGUUAGUCAGGCGUGAAAUUCCUGGGCUCAACCUGGGGACUGCGCUUGAUACGGCAGAGCUUGAGGAUGGAAGAGGGUCGCGGAAUUCCCAGUGUAGAGGUGAAAUUCGUAGAUAUUGGGAAGAACACCGGUGGCGAAGGCGGCGACCUGGUCCAUUACUGACGCUGAGGCGCGACAGCGUGGGGAGCAAACAGG